GACGAACGCUGGCGGUGUGCUUAACACAUGCAAGUCAACGAGAAUUUAUCUUCGGAUAAUAGUAAAGUGGCGAACGGGUGAGUAACGCGUAAAUAACUUGCCUUGGAGAUUGGGACAACAUUGGGAAACCAGUGCUAAUACCAAAUAAUGCAGCGGGCCCUUCGGGGCAUAGUUGUUAAAGUAGGCUUCGGCUUACACUUCAAGAUAGAUUUGCGUCCGAUUAGUUAGUUGGUAGGGUAAUAGCCUACCAAGACCGAGAUCGGUAGCUGGUCUGAGAGGAUGAUCAGCCACACUGGAAUUGAGAUACGGUCCAGACUCCUACGGGAGGCAGCAGUGAGGAAUUUUGCACAAUGGGCGAAAGCCUGAUGCAGCAACACCGCGUGAUUGAUGAAGUUUUUAGGAAUGUAAAAAUCUGUCGUAAGGGAAGAAAUGUUUCGGAUGUUAAUACCAUCUGUCAUUGACGGUACCUUACAAGGAAGGACCGGCUAACUUCGUG
rnacentral:rRNA from 1 species